CAGAGACAUCGCUGCUGAGAUUUCCCCUGGAGAGAACCCCUAGCUGUCAAUCAAGCAGGCGCGGUGAACGGAUUAUGACGCUCAAGCGUUCCAAAUGACGCAACAAUACAGCUCCAGACCAGAGGAAGUUAAUGCCGAAGAUAUCAUUCGGUUCCACACUAAAACUGAGGUUUGACACGUGUGAUUUGAGGCUAGAGCUUGAGGACUCAACUCUGAAGACUGUUUCUGAAUUCACUGACCUGAAAUAAAACUUGUAGACCUUUCCUGCAGUCUCUGAGGAGAUGGACAGCUCUUCUUCUUCUGGACGAUCUCCGUCUCCUACUGGGACUGUCUUCUUACCCCCUCCUAUCAUGUGGAACAGUCUCUACAAGCAGGCAGAGAUGGAGCUUCACUUCCCGAGAGAAGAGAAGAAGACCUAUACAGAGAAGGAAGCCCACAUGCUUGAGUUGAUGGGGAAGGAUCGAACGAUCCGAAACCAGAAGAAGGAGAUGGACAGACUUCAAGUCUGCCUCUGGGAGGAGGAAAAGAAGAAGAGGAAUGGUGGAACGGAGAAGGACAAGAUCAUUGAACAAUUACAGUCUGAGACAGACCAUCUCCGAGCCCUUUUAAAAGAUGAAAGGAGGAGAAGAAGAGUAGAAAGGG
ensembl:lncRNA